GAUGAACGCUGGCGGCGUGCCUAAUACAUGCAAGUCGAGCGAAUGGAUUAAGAGCUUGCUCUUAUCAAGUUAGCGGCGGACGGGUGAGUAACACGUGGGUAACCUGCCCAUAAGACUGGGAUAACUCCGGGAAACCGGGGCUAAUACCGGAUAACAUUUUGAACCGCAUGGUUCGAAAUUGAAAGGCGGCUUCGGCUGUCACUUAUGGAUGGAUCCGCGUCGCAUUAGCUAGUUGGUGAGGUAACGGCUCACCAAGGCAACGAUGCGUAGCCGACCUGAGAGGGUGAUCGGCCACACUGGGACUGAGACACGGCCCAGACUCCUACGGGAGGCAGCAGUAGGGAAUCUUCCGCAAUGGACGAAAGUCUGACGGAGCAACGCCGCGUGAGUGAUGAAGGCUUUCGGGUCGUAAAACUCUGUUGUUAGGGAAGAACAAGUGCUAGUUGAAUAAGCUGGCACCUUGACGGUACCUAACCAGAAAGCCACGGCUAACUACGUGCCAGCAGCCGCUGUAA
rnacentral:rRNA from 1 species